ensembl:lncRNA
GAGUGACAUAUCUUUUCUGAGUCCUAAAAUACAUUCAGUUUUGGGAUAGCCUACACUACGUCAGGGCGAAUCUCGCGACACACCAGCGACCACGGGCAGUGUCCUUCCAAGAAGACCCGACCCAAACUCGGAACGAGAGAAGAACUUCGCCAGAGAGGUGGCGGCACGGAUCUCUGGCUGUCUCUCUCAGUGGAUGUCCGCUCACCAUCUGAAAAUCAACCCCAACAAGACUGAACUACUACUCUUUCCGGGAAAAGAUUCUCCGACCCAGGACUUGAUGGUCAACUUGGGCAAUCAGUGUUAAUGCCCGCUUUGACUGCUAGGAACCUCGGCGUGACACUGGACAGCCAACUCUUCCUGACUGCAACAACAUGAUCCUGUAGAUACACACUCUACAACAUCAGGAGAAUAUGUCCCCUUCUCACUCAGAAGGCAGCGCAGGUACUGAUUCAGUACCUGCUAGCGCCAUUCAACCUCUGCAGUUCAUCCAGAUUGCAGCAGCUCGACUGGUCUUUCACCUUCCGAAAUUCUCCCACACUACCCCACUCCUCCGCUCUCUUUACUGGCUAGAUCACAACUCUUUGCUGUCCUUGCUCCGAAAUGGUGGAACGAGCUCUCCGAUGACACUAGGAUCGCAGAGAGCCUUCACAUCUUCUGCCACAAACUAAAGACACACCUCUUCAGACUCUGACUAAAAGACUAACAAAAAACACUACAUGGUUUAGGGCCAAAGUAUAUCACUGAUAUGCUUCCACUACAUAAGCCUUCAAGAUCACUAAGAUCUUCUGACACCAAUCUGUUAGUGAUUCCCAGAGUAAAUACAAAUCAUGGGAAAGCAUCAUUUAGUUACUACGCAACAAACAGCUGGAAUAAACUUCCUGAAGAUUUAAGACUUGCCCCAACUCUGACCACGUUUAAAACAAGACUGAAAACUUUUAUGUUCAGCUUCGCCUUCUGCAAAAUUUUACCUACAUUUUGCAUUUUAACCUCUGCCUUUAAUUAAACAAUUUAAAUAAGAUUUUAACUUAUAAUUUUAUUUGCUGUUUUUAAUUGUCUUUUAAUUCCUGCAUUUUAUUUUCACUUUAUUGUAUGAAAUGUUAUGAUGUGAAGCACUUUGAGUCUGCCUUGUGUAUGAAAAGCGCUAUACAAAUAAAAUUGCCUUGCCUUCUACACGUACGUGAAAUACAUGACCUAUUCUAUGGAUACAAAUGACAUAUAAUAAAAGUGUAUACAAAUAUUUCAGUGAUGACAAACAAUGAGAAAGCAAAAGGCAUGCACUCAAUCCAGUGUGUGGGGGAUUGCACAAUCUGAGAUGAGGUGCAGCUCAUCGCUGCCUCAUCUCGCGAGUCGCCUCUCUGUUUGAACACGACAUGGUCAAAUUCAGUGAUUUUGAUUAUAAAAAUGUUUGGAAUGAUUGUAAUCAUAUAAAAAUUACAUUACAAGCACAAAUCAGUAGAUACAUAUUAAUAUGUAUUUUAUUUUAUCAUUAUUUGUUUUUUACGUUUCAUGAUGACUUACGUUUAAUGAUGACGAGGCGAAAUUACGCGUAAAAACGUACCGUUACGUCCCGUUGGCAAAAAGAUAGAAAAAAUAGUUUACAACGGUACUUCAUGCCCGGCUUUCCAGUGAGAGAAAACGUUACAACACUUUAGUGAGAUACAACGUUACAACACUUCAGGAAGCUGCACUCGGUAAGUUUUACGGUAAGCAAUCUGUUUCUGAAGUAAUUAUUUAGGUGUUAAUGUUAACUUGUCAAGUUAGAUUUUUCUUUUAGCUUGCCAACAUGGUUAGCUAGCCAAGUUUUUAAAUGCCUUUUUAUACCUACUGUUAAUACUGUUAAUAAUAUGCCUGUUUAUUGCAAUGUAAAGCAUGUUUGAGUUGUAUGUAUGUAUGUAUGUAUGUAAGUAUGAAAGCCUAGCUAGCAAACUUACCACUCUCCCAAUUCAGUUUGCUUUCAGAAUGAGAGAUUUUGACGAGGAGGAUGCCAUUACUGUGGCUCAACUAGAGGCAGGAGUCAGGUGCAAAUGGUCAUGGUCCUGGCUGGAGCUAGACUCUAAAAGCAAUGUGAAGGGAGUAGAAUAUGUAUUCCCCCUCUCACAGUUUUUCAAAAAAAUUGACAAACCAGGCCAUGCCCAAUGCAGCCUAUGUUGCAAAGAGAUAAAUUAUUCUACCAAGGGCUCCCAUGCCCUUUUGGCACAUUGUAAAACGGAAAAACAUACCCAAAAGGUGGUGGGUAUUAUGACCACACCUAGCAUAUUAGUGUCAACAACUCAGGGCCAGUCACAGCAGGGACCAUCAAUGUCUGGCCCAUCACAGCAGAGCUCAUCAAUGCCUGGCCCAUCACAGCAGAGCUCAUCAAUGCCUGGCCCUCAGCAGAUGAGGGAAAGAGUGAAGGUGCCAGUACCACUCUUUGAAAGGGCAGCAAAUGCAGAAGUGGGUGUUAGUUAGCCAGUAUGUACCAGUUGUUCAUUAGAUCAUUAAAGUAUUAAGCCUAGAUAAGCAGACAAGGAAAACGUUUUUUUAUAAAGAAGUAUUAUUUACAUGUGCUUUGCAGGGGGUAUCAUAUAAAAUACUAAAACAUAUUUUUUUUCAGGCACUGGUUCUUGGAACCAUUGCAGAACAUUCCCUCCCCUUAUCUGUAGCUCCUGUCAUUGUUGAGCUUGCCCAGACACUGGCUCGGGAUAAACCAGCUUUGACGGGCAUGAAGCUGUCCCGGACUGCUGCCUCAUACAAGUUGGUCCAGGGCCUGGGCCACACCUUCUCAGAGAGGACGUUUGAGAGCAUCCGGUCAACACCAUUGUCAAUUAACUUAGAUGAGAGCACAUCAAACUCCAAUAAGAAGGUGUUGUCCAUUCUUGUGUGCUAUUUCAAUCAGGAGCUGAAGCAUGUGGUAGUUGAACACCUUUGCUCCAUUGAAAUCCUAAAGGGCACUGCUCUAUAUAUUUGGAAUUGGCCUUAGUGACCUUUUUCAAUGACCAUAAAAUUCAUUUUGCCAACCUUAUCAGUAUGAUGAUGGACUCCUGUAAGGUCAUGCGUGGGAGCAAGUCUGGGCUGGAGACCAGAAUCAGAGGGACGCACUGCCAGAACCUCUUGGAUGUUGAUGGAGAUUCUUGCCACCACAUCCACAAUGCCGCCAAACAGUUUGCUGCCCCCUUCGGCCACCACCUCGAGCAGCUCUUCGCUGACCUUCACACAGACCACCAGUGGGCUUCAGACCAGUUGAAAUACCUGAUUGAGAUCUGUGACUUUAUGGGCAUUCAUGGAACGAACCCACAACGGUUUGUGGCACAUCGGUGGCUUUCGGCUUAUGAUGUGUGGAUCAGCACCCGCCGAAUGUUGCCUGCAUUCCAGGUCCUGUACUUUGGAUUCCUCAGUCAGGCAGACAAGACCCUUUAUGAAGACGUCCUACAGGAGAUCUACAAGGACCGUAGUGUUGGUGAGCGGGCAAAGGUCAGGAUCCAAUAUUUCCAUCAGGACCUCUCCAAAAAAGGAAUGACACAAGUUGGUAAGGACAGAAAAGGGAGGGUGGUGAAGAAACUCUGGUUCGAGAGUCUCAACACUAACCUCUAGCUGAGCGUUUACCUAGGCGUCCAUGACAUCCUCAAGGAGUAUGUGAUAGUGUUCCAGGGUAGCCAAACCCUUGUCCACAAACUGCAUGACAAGCAGCUUGGAGUGGUCACGAAUUUCAUGCCCUGCUUUAUCAAGGCUGAGCAUCUUCACACCACUCCAAAGAAGCUCAUGGAGAUGGAGUUCAGGGACAAAAUGCUGCCUCUCAGGGAGCUUUAUGUCGGACCGGUGGCUGAGAAACUGAAGGCAGAAAAUCCAAGUCCAAUCCAUUGUGCUGCAGGUUCUCGACACAGUGAAGACUGCAUACAUGUCAACAGCAGCCUACAUGCAGAAAAAGCUGCCACUAAACAGCAGGACCCUACAGGCACUGUCUGCUCUGGACCCAUUGGUGAGAGGCCACUCAGAGACUGGCAUACUGCUGAAGCGGCUGUCAGGGCCAGGGAUGAUGAGCCACUUGGUGCCACCCCAGUGUGACGUGCCACUGGAAGUGGUGAAAUUCAAUGUGGAUUCCACCCUUCCCCUGUACAUUGAUGGUGACAACAUGGUAAACUGGUGGGCAGAUGUAAUGGACACUGGCAGGUACCCAGGCCUAAACCACGUGGUUUGAGGGGCUCUCUCCAUUUUCCACGGACCCAUGGUAGAGUCAUCAUUUAGUGCCAUGAGAGACAUAAUUACCAACAAAAGCACUAAAAUGAGCAUGGCAACCUACAAUGCUAUCCAGACAACCAAAUAUGCCCUCAGGUCCAGGAGUCAGACAGCCAUCCAGAUGUUCAAGAGAGAUGACAGGAAGCUCUCCAGGGUCGAUAAGGUCCUCUGCAGGAACAUCCACACUGCAGGAACAACAGACAAGGCUCGCAGACAAAAGGCCUUGUUGAAGUAAAAAGAGAGGCAUGAAGAGUUUGAGUGCCAGCCAUCAACCAGUGGUGAGCAAAGCUCACUGCAGUGAAGGAGGACAGGCAAGCCAAAUUGAGGCACGUAACCGCUCAAAAGCGGAAAAAAGCACUGGAAGUACUGGUACUGCCUUUUUAACAGUGUACCUGACAUGUUUAUAUUAUUUUGUUUUGUUUUGUGUGUAAUUCAAUAUUGUAUACAGAUGUUUAAUUAAAUAUUUAGUUGUGUUUCUGUCAAGGAAUGCUGGGUUGGGGUGGGGGAGCCAAAUGGGAAGGGAGUUAUGUAGGAAGUAUUUCAAAUGUUGAUUCUGUGAGUUAGUUGUAAAAUUCUAAUAAACAGAAGUAAAAAAAAAAAGAACUGGCUUCAUUUCUCAUUUCCCUUUCCCUUGUUCGGAAAAGGAUAAAAGACAAGGUAAAGGGGUUGUGAAAGUUGAUAACCAUCCGAGCUAAAUAGCCGCAGCUUAUUUGUGUUUUACUGGAAUAACAUUGAAGCAUAUGCAAAAAAUACAUAUAUUCCCCGAGGGGUUUGGAUCUUUGUCACCUUUUUCAUCCCUGAUGAGUUUGCACCCCUGUAUACAAAAUCAUAAUCUUAGUGAAACUACAUUGAAGUUUUUUUAAAAUAAGACAAGGCAGGCAACAAUUGGAAUUGGCUAAGACUAAGCCUUUAACCAAGCCCUUUCAAUGUGAGUAUUAUUGUAUACAGUUCAGGCUUGAACGAGGCCUGAGUUAGAGUCGAGACACGAGUAUGACCGAAUCCCUAAGACCUAAAUGUGCCUCUUCUGCUCUCCUCACUGGCUCUUUACCUUUUUUCAACCAAAGUCUGCUGACUAGUUGGUCAUUGCUAGAUGGUCUUCUGUGAUGGAUCUGCCAUGAGCCUUAGCAAAUCACAACAUGAAUUAAGUCCAUCGUCACAAAACAUGGAACAAAGUGGUCUUCAAUUGUGACAUUUUUUAUUAAAUCACGCAAGAUAAAACGUGAACAAGCCUCAUUAGAGAGGAAAAAAGAUGCAAACAUUGUCUUCUAUUUAGGUUACCUUAUGGGAAAAAUCCAGUAUACAAAAAAAGGACAUAAUUGUGCUUUUACCGUGACAAGGACAAAAUUCAACCCCCCCCUUUCCCAGGGAACCUUUAAAUCUCCAUAUACAAUAAAGACAUACUGGUGCUGAACACAAUAAUUUAACUCAAUUUAGAGCCAUGGAUAAACUUCUUCGUCAUUGCAAUAUUAGACAGAAUUACCUUGAUCAGGACAUCAAAUGUUCCAAUGUUCCAUCUAAUGCAUCACAGUUGGUACAGUCCAUUUUCCUUUAGAAUUCCCAUAAAGCAGAUCAACUUCCUGUCUUAAUCUCUUUGUCACCCAGCUGGUCCAUUCCUACAGCCUACCAGAUACUAAACAUUUCAAGUUAUUUUAACUUCAAAAUGAACUUUAACAAUUGUGCUGUUUUUAUAAAUUGCAUUUUAGCCAAAGUGAAAUUUUAACUGGUUAAUGUUUUAACCUUACGCCAAAUGACUAAACCCGUGCACUGACCAACCUUAAACCAACCCCAUAUAAUGUCCUUUUUAUUUAUUAAUUAAAGCAAAGAUGAAUGUAUAGGAUUUGUGUGGCACACCUUCCAAUUUCUUCUCACAGCGGUUAGUGAUGUUAUUUUGCAGGAUGCUUUUUCUUUUACGCUCCGGAACUAUCAAAGCAUUUUGGGUCAGCGUACAUACCUUUGGAUACUUUCUUGAAGGGGUCGGAGUGCUCAGGGAUCCUGUCUCUCCUUUUAGGAACAGAUUCAGACACCAUGGAUUCAAGUAGGUUUUCCACAGGUCUGUUUCAGGUCACAUCUUGGAGCUCUGACAACCGUGACGGUACUUGUUACUGGUAUAAACAAAUCUGUGGUCUAGUAUGGAUGGUUUGCAAGGUCUGUGAUUGAAGUGCGUUUUGGAGUAUGUGAGUAGUGUUCAGAAGAAUGAACUAUCCCUACAUCCUCUUCGUCCUCUCUCACCUUUCCUUUCUCAUCCUACUAUUCUCGCCCUCAAACACAUGCUAUAUGAAUUCCUUCUUAUACUCUUUCUGUCUUUCUGAUCUCUUGGUUCUCCUCCUCUUCAUCUCUUCCUUCUCACUGUCGUAAUCCUUCCCUUCUUUGUUCCUGACCUACUAAUCCUACCCAUAAAUUCUCCCUUUAUCUGUAAAUCAAUCUUUUUUCCCUUUACACCACUUGCCUUUCACCUCAUUUUCUCUCCUAGGUUCACCCUUAAUUUUCUUGUUAACCUGUGUCUGCGUGUAUGAUUGGCAUGGGAACUCUGCUAUAAAGACCUUCACUGCACAUGAGAUUAUCUCCCCUUUAGGCAUUAAAUUAUCCACAGCAAAACACACAUACGCAAACACACCCGCAAAUGUAAAACUAUCCCUAUAAAGUCUAUAAAGGUGACUGUUUCCACAGUGACACUGUUUCUUUAUUUGUUCUUUCAACACAUGCACACUCAGAAACACACACAGAGGGAGCAAAUAAGAACUACUGUAUGUCAGAUGUUUACACUUUCGUGUGUGUGUGUGUGUGUGUGUGCAUGCAUGCGUGCGUGAGGAAGACUAACCACCUGUUCAACAACAGAGCUGAGGACACACUGGGGGGGUGUCCGUUUGUGUGUGUCCCUUCACCUGUCAAUAUGAAGAUAAUUGAUGAGACAGCCCAGCAAUAGACCUGAGGGACGGGUCCUUUCACACACACACACAUUUUACGCCCCACAACUUACACUGCUGGAGCAUUUGAAAGGUGGAACUUCAGUCAAAUUUUCUAGUUUCUGAAACCACUUCAGACCGAAAACAUGUAGCGGCCAAUUUUGGGCUAUUUGUUUCAUUAAAAUGUUUUUUUAGGCUGGUAAUAAUUACUUUAAAGCCAUUUCUGUUGACAGAAUCCAUUUUGACUUUUGGCAUUUUCAAUUAUUAAAAAAAUUGUCGGUUUUUCCCACUCCUUGGCUUUGGCAGGUCCCUUAAUUCCGCUGCUAACGCUGUUGAAUAUGAUCAACUUUCUUUUAUGGUUCUCAAAAUGUAUGACUUUAAUGAAGGACAUAUGAUGCAAUACUUGUAGCCUUAUUCGGUGUUACCUUAUUAGGUAACACCAAAUAAGGCUACAAGUUAGUUAAGUGGAGGUAACAGAACCACUCAGGGUUAGGAAAAGAGCCACAUUGAAAUAGUGGAAAGGAUGACCAGUCAUUAGUAGACUUGCUUCUGACAUGCGCAUUAACCACAAGCUCGUUGCGUAAUGUUUCAACAGUCAGCCCUCGCGCCAUGCGCUCAGGGGAGAUCCUACUUCAUCCUUAAAAUAUUCGGCAAGUAACAAAAGUUUCUUUGAAAAUAUAAUGUGAAACUGUAGAGCUAGAAAUGAAGCCAUGCAGGGUUAAUCGUUAAAUAAUUGCAAAAAUGCAAAUUAGUCUGGUCCUAGUUAGGUUUAUACUCCCUAUAGCUACAACCUUUGUCGAUUGUCAUUGGUAAAAAGCCGUGUUUAUUUGUGUGGUAUGAAUUGAGCAGUCACCCGUGCCCAUUUUAACGCCCAACACGAGCAGCUGUGUGCUUUUUUCAACGUGGGUAAAUCUGGAAAAAAUCGGUCAAAGCUAACGUUACUUUAAGAGUUUGUGUGAAGAGUAGCUGGUCAGACAGGACUCCAAACAAGUGAUGCCAGCGUGCACUGUGGGAGUCUGUCAACCGUCAUCUGCCAUCUGGUAAAAAUGCCCGUCAACGUUAUCUAUUUUAUGGUUUAAGACUUGCGUAACUAUUAUUACUUUAAUUAUUGAAUAGCCAGAUUAUUUUCUUUUGUGCCAAAAUCAAACUAAUAAUUUUAGAGUGAUGCUAAAAAGUUAUUUCUAAUAUUCCUUGUUUUCUAUGAAAGAGGUUUUUGUUUAUUUGCUGAUUGCCAUAAGUUGUCUGAAUUUUGCAUUCAUCAGCAUGUUUUUGUUGACAGCCGAAGACAUUAAUCAAUAUCUCUCUUCUUUUUAGGCCCUGAAUGUGGAGGUGCAAACAGUGCUCUGAGACCGUUUCGACGAGAAUCCCAAGCAUUGAAGUAAGGGGGGAAUGCAGGGUAUGCGGGUAUGCUUCUACUUAAAUGAAGAUCCUGACAAACUUGUUAAAAAGUACAUGUUUGAGGAUGUUGCUGGAGUGGACGAAAUGGAGGAAGUGGUUUUGGCCAUCUACGUUGUGGAACAUGAGGGAGCAGAGGCAACCGAUGAACCUGAGGAUAUUGGCAUCAUCGUUGAAGAGUGUACAGUGCUGGAAUACCUCAGAAAAGUGGCAAAUGGCUGCGCAUCCCUGUUUGGUGUGAUCUACAGUUUAAACUUGAGCUAUCCCAAGGACCUUUGAUACACUUUCAAGUUUAUUCAGAAAGUUUGGAUGGGAUUGGAUGGGAACAAGCUCUCCACUAAGGUCCUCAAAAAAAAACUGCAUGAGGAAAAUGCCAUCAAGGCUGGAUAAGAAUUUCUGUUCAUCCUCACACAGGAAAGUGCUUUUGCACUGUGGACUGAUGCUGAACACAUUGUUUGUUGGUUUGCUGUUGUGUUAUUAGACGCUGUCACUAUGUUUUUUCACUGUAUGUUUUUUUAAAAGUUGGACAUUUUAUGUUGACAUUUUAAAUAGCAUAAACUCCAUGUUGACUAGUUCAUAAAUUCCAAAUUUGAUGAUUCUGGUAAUGUUUAAGUUCUCAACCUAAACUUGUUAUUUCAGAAGAUACGUAUUUAAUAGAGAACAGAAUCACUGUUUUACUGUUUCAGCUUCACAGUGUGAGGUUAAAACCAUAAGAUUAUUAUCUAUAUAGAUAUUCAUAGAUUUGUUUUCAUUAUUUCUUAUUGGUACAUUUUCAGUUUUUAUAAAUUUGUGUGUUGUACACAUGCAUAUUAUACACAGGUGAAUAGUCCCACCUGCUUCAAACCUGAUAAUAAAGGUUUAAGUGAAUUUCAGCAAAAACUUAAUUUGUAUUUAUUUGACUCAUUUAUUUAAACUGAACAACUAAG